rnacentral:rRNA from 1 species
GUAGGGAAUAUUGCGCAAUGGGGGAAACCCUGACGCAGCAACGCCGCGUGAGUGAGGAAGGUCUUCGGAUUGUAAAACUCUUUUAUUAGGGAAAAAUGUCUUAGCGGUUAAUACCCGCUAGGAGUGAUGGUACCUAAGGAAUAAGCACCGGCUAACUUCGUGCCAGCAGCCGCGGUAAUACGAAGGGUGCAAGCGUUGUUCGGAAUCAUUGGGCGUAAAGCGCGCGCAGGCGGAUCAGCAAGUCAGAUGUGAAAUCUCGGAGCUCAACUCCGAAACUGCGUCUGAAACUGCUAGUCUAGAAUGUCGGAGGGGGCAGGGGAAUUUCACGUGUAGGGGUAAAAUCCGUAGAGAUGUGAAGGAACACCGGAGGCGAAGGCGCCUGCCUGGACGACUAUUGACGCUGAGGCGCGAAAGCGUGGGGAGCAAACAGGAUUAGAAACCCGGGUAGUCC